rnacentral:rRNA from 1 species
UACGAAGGGGGCUAGCGUUGUUCGGAAUUACUGGGCGUAAAGCGCACGUAGGCGGACUAUUAAGUCAGGGGUGAAAUCCCGGGGCUCAACCCCGGAACUGCCUUUGAUACUGGUAGUCUCGAGUCCGGAAGAGGUGAGUGGAAUUCCGAGUGUAGAGGUGAAAUUCGUAGAUAUUCGGAGGAACACCAGUGGCGAAGGCGGCUCACUGGUCCGGUACUGACGCUGAGGAGCGAAAGCAUGGGGAGCGAACAGG